rnacentral:rRNA from 1 species
GUGCAGCAGUCGCGAAAACUCCGCAAUACGCGAAAGCGUGACGGGGCUACCCCGAGUGUCGUCCGCUGAGGACGACUUUUCCACGCUGUAAGGAGGCGUGGGAAUAAGGAGAGGGCAAGUCUGGUGUCAGCCGCCGCGGUAAUACCAGCUCCCCGAGUGGUUGGGACGAUUAUUGGGUCUGAAGCGUCCGUAGCCGGCCGGAAAAGUUCCCCGUUAAAUCCAACGAUUCAAUCGUUGGACUGCGGGAGAUACUGUUGAGCUAGGAGGCGGGAGAGGCCGACGGUAUUCCCGGAGUAGGGGUGAAAUCUUAUAAUGCCGGGAGGACCACCAGUGGCGAAGGCUGUCGGCUAGAACGCGCUCGACGGUGAGGGACGAAAGCUGGGGGAGCGAACCGGAUUAGAUACCCGGGUAGUCC